UACGUAGGGAGCAAGCGUUGUCCGGAAUCAUUGGGCGUAAAGCGCACGUAGGCGGCCUUGUAAGUCGGAUGUGAAAUCCCACGGCUCAACCGUGGACGUGCAUUCGAAACUGCUCGGCUCGAGUAUGGAAGAGGGUCGCGGAAUUCCCGGUGUAGAGGUGAAAUUCGUAGAUAUCGGGAGGAACACCAGUGGCGAAGGCGGCGACCUGGGCCAAUACUGACGCUGAGGUGCGAAAGCGUGGGGAGCAAACAGG
rnacentral:rRNA from 1 species